rnacentral:rRNA from 1 species
CUAUGUGUUGUUGGGUAGGGGAGCGUUCUGUAAGCCGUUGAAGGUGGCCUGUGAGGGUUGCUGGAGGUAUCAGAAGUGCGAAUGCUGACAUAAGUAACGAUAAUGCGGGUGAAAAACCCGCACGCCGGAAGACCAAGGGUUCCUGUCCAACGUUAAUCGGGGCAGGGUGAGUCGACCCCUAAGGCGAGGCCGAAAGGCGUAGUCGAUGGGAAACAGGUUAAUAUUCCUGUACUCGGUGUUACUGCGAAGGGGGGACGGAGAAGGCUAUGUUGGCCGGGCGACGGUUGUCCCGGUUUAAGCAUGUAGGCGGAUGUUCCAGGUAAAUCCGGAACGUCACUAACGCUGAGGUGUGAUGACGAGGCACUACGGUGCUGAAGUGACAAAUGCCCUGCUUCCAGGAAAAGCCUCUAAGCAUCAGGUAACAUCAAAUCGUACCCCAAACCGACACAGGUGGUCAGGUAGAGAAUACCAAGGCGCUUGAGAGAACUCGGGUGAAGGAACUAGGCAAAAUGGUGCCGUAACUUCGGGAGAAGGCACGCUGAUGGUAGGUGAAGCGACUUGCUC